CAUAACUGGGUCAGUGAGAAUCAAUAAAUGAAUAUAUAAAUAAAUAGAAAUAAAAUGUAUAAGGCACUGUCCAGUUCUAAAAGUAUGUGGUAUUGUGAAGCCCUUUGCUUUGUCACACCUUUCCGCUGUAUACUCCUCAGAAUGGACAUACUUUUAAGGUUGGUGGACCUCUCCAUGGUCAGGUGCUGUGUUUGAAGACUCCUGUGGGUAACAGUUAUCCUUAUUUUGGUGUCAGUGGUUUCCUUGCAAGUGCUUAAUGAAUUUUAAAACAUGCGUACCGUAAUCGAUGAUGGGGAACUCUUUCCCAGUGUUAUACAUAGUAGAGAAGUAAUGUGUAUAUGAAAAACUGAACGUUUGUAAUGAGCCAGAUGCAUCAGUGUUAGAAUAAUUCCAUACAUAGAAUCAUUAAAUUCUAAUGAUUGCCUGGUAGUUGUCCCAUUCUAAAAAUAUGUGGAAAAGCAAGAAUUACACUGAUAGCUGAAGAAGACAGUGAUCUGCAAAGAAAAGUAAAUGUUAUGUCCUUGCAACCUCUUUGGUUAUUGACAGUAAUUAGAGAUAGUAAUCAACUUCUGGGCCAACAACAAAUUUGAAAUGAAAUCAGUGUAUUCCAAAGAAAGAUUAUUAAAAUUACCAAGUAGAGAUGGGUGAAAUAGGAGAUCAGUAGUAACAAUGUCUCAAUUUUGUUGUCGUCUUCUCUGCCCUCUGCUCCUUGGAAUGGAUGUACUGGGUGGGUUGAAGGACUCCUCUGUGGCCAGGUGCUCUGUCCACCCUGCUGGAAGGGUAAGUGGGCCUGUGUAAGUGUGCUCAGCCUCCGGGUCUUGGUUUGGGUGGUUUGCAUAAGAAUAGUCAGCGUAUUAAUAAAAAGUGCACUGCAUAGUCAGUGAUGGCCACUGUGUCCCAGUGAUCAAGUGGGGAUGGAAUAUUCAGUUGAGAAUGCACAAGGGCUGAUCAAAAUAUAUAGUGAAUGCUUAUAUUUAAAAAUUAUUGCAAUAAUAGGCACAUUGCCAUCGAUCCCCUGAAAGUUCUCCCCCUCACUUUAAACACAUUGAUCCUAUCAUUUUUGCCAUUCUGAAGUGGUUCUGGAAGUGCUCUUUCAUGAGGGUCUUUACAAGGUGUAAUACAAAAUACUGCUGCUGUCUACAGCCAUCAACAGAAAGGCAGGGUAGAAAAAACAGAACCCUUGUUGAUGGGUCUGGUGCUGAGGGGCUUCUGGCUUUUUACCUAAGUCAAAAUGACCAUGGGAGAUAAACAUUUCAAUUCAGGACGUUUAUACAUUCAGGACAGUGCAACCAAAGAUACUCCCAAAUAGGGCUGGGGAUUUAGUCAGUGGUUCCGCCACCUGCCUCGCAAGCUCAAGGACCAGAGUUCAAUCCCCGGUACCAAGAAAAAGAUACUUCCAAAUGAGGAAGACUUCUAGAGCUGCUCCAGAGUGGGGCAAGAAUGAUGGAAUAAGUGUGUACAAAUUGAGGGGAAGUAUUUUGAGGGGUUUCAUGAUAAUACAUCUUUUCCUGUAAUACAAUGUUUGAAUUUAAGCAUUCAGCUAUAUUUGUCACUCACACUUCAUAUAUAUGUCUGUUGGUUAAAACAUCAGUCAUGUUUUGUGUCAGUGCCAUGACAAGUACUACUUGUUUAUGUAAGAGAAAAUAAAAUAAAUGGGCAUUUCAAAUGACCUAAAUGACUGACUCAAUGAAAGCUAGAAUGUAAAGACCAGUGUGGAUAAUGUUUCAAUGUUUUUUCUUUUGAAAUCAUCUCCUGUGUAUGUACUCCUGAGAACGGACAUGCUCUUGCUGACAUCCUUCCAUGGCCGGAUCUCUGCACCUCCACCUAUGGUGAGCAAGGAAGCCCAUUUUAAACAUCGUUUACCUCUUCAAAAAGCAUAAAUUGGUGGCCAGAUUAUUUCACCCAUGGAUGAAGAAAACAAUAGGAUGAGAUAUUGUUCCCUGGCACAAAAUUUCUUUGAAGCAAUCAUGAAGAUGGAUGCAGUUCUGCGCAUGCGGGGUCCAGACAGCUAAGCGGAUGCAAGCACCAUAGCUGAUUAAAUUAUUCUCCAAUCAUGAAGAUCUUUGCCUUGUCCGUCUGGGUGAGGAGAAUACCUUGUAUUAAUGGAUGUAUCUUGACAUCUUUAAUCAUCGUUCAAGGAUGAAGAUCUUGAGCAUUUCUUAUGUGACUAUGGACAGCGCAGAUCAGGGAGCUCCCAAAUUCUCCUGUUCUGCAAGCACGGCCAGUUUGGAUGAGCCAGGCCACAUCAGGCCAUGCACCCUCAAGGAGGCGGUAUGACAUGUUGCUGUCCCAGGAGCAGAGGACAAGAACAGAGAGUUGGCAACACCCUGGCUCCAAGAGGCACCUGCCUGAGAGCCACCCACUGUUCACCCCUCCAUACCGCCCUUCCCCUGCUUGCAGCAGAUGUGUGUCCGGGGCCACAUGUGCCCAACCCUGACUGUCCGUCGUCCUCUCUGCCUUGGAUGGGCUACUGACAUGGCCUUGUGUCCCUCCUUUGGACUUGGUCUUUGGGGCUUGGCCAUUUGAUGGGUGAGAAGCAGCCGACGCCUUCAUGAAAUAGGACUUGGGCCCAAAUCAUGAGUCUUCCUACUUCAGAACAAGUCAGAUCGACGCCCCCUUGCUGAUGGACACCCAAGACUGUCAUUUGGACUCCUAUCAUUUUUGGCUCUUUCCUGCUUGGGCAAGUGGUAGCUCCUCUAGAGAAGGGGUGAGAGAGUUGGUGGCAGGUGGCCCCUCUACAGCUGCAGCUGGGCAGCAAGCCACCACUGAGGGUUUCCACUAGAAUCUCCGGCCUCACAGCAUUCAGCAACCUCCAGUUAAUUCUAGUUUUUGGAUCCUUCCCCCAAAUUGCCUAGACUUGCAAGUCACCCACCUACCUCAUACUUUCAUAGCCUCUUGCCCUCUUUCUUAGCUCCCAAUCCCUUUGUAUAAAUCCACCCGUUCGCAGUCAUCCCAUGUUACAAGGUUAAUUAUGAACUGCAAACUUCUCCCAGAGGGAGGCCUCUGCACUUCUCAAGACCAGGGUCUUUGUCUCGAUAGCCCACCAGAAGGUCUGGACAUCAGGCAAUGCUCGGCAGUCUUUCAUGUAUUCCAAAAAGACCGAGUCUCCUCUAGUACCAAAGUCUGGACAGCAGAUAGGGAGGAGAAAGACAUCACCCCUGACCUUGAGGGAAUUAGACUUUAAACAAAGGUCCACUGAAAAAUUGUUUAAUUACACCGGUGACAGUGAUAUGAAUCCAAGUUGCUGGGGCUUUGUGAGCCUGGGCAGUGCAGCUUGUCCUGAGCCCCCAACCCCCACUCCUGCCUCUGUGCCUUUGAAGAGGUGCUGAAAGAGGAACAAGGGUGUAGCCAUGCUUGGAGGCCACCAGGGGCUUUGGAUUUCUGGAGUUAGGUGGGCUGGAUCUUGGGACGACCUUGGAAGAAAGGGAGAUGAGUGCACGUGGGUUUCUGCGUGGUGCUUUGGGGCAGCUGUGGGCAGCCCAGCACACCCUUCCCUCGAGCCCCACGUGGAUGAAGAUGAAAGCAGGCUCCUAAGUGUUUCAUCUUCCCUGCUUCAGCUCUGUAGCAUUUGUCUUAGAUGUUUUGGCAGAUGACAGACUAAGGGUAGAAUAGAUUAUGAGUUGACCUUUUCUUUUCCUUCUACUACAUUUCAUUGUGAGAUUCUUCAGAUGGUUGCCAAAGAAACAGUCCUGUUGCAAUGGUGUUGUAGUGUUCUGUGCCAGCCUGCCUUCGGGCGUGCGUCGUGUCAGCCGUCACCCCAGCACCUCUCCACACAGCCCCCAUGGCUCAUUCCCCACCAGAACACCCCUCCUCCCCUUCAGCUCCUGAGAGUCCAUGCCAGAGUCCCUUUUUUUCAUUCUGUGCUCUACCACUACCAUCGCCAUUGUCACCCUUGUGCAUCCCAAGCCUCCCUCGUCUUGAGCUGGUGUCCCGCCCAGGUGUCUGAGCUCCCAUAGGCCCCGGGAAUAAGGUCCAAGCUCAUUGGCCUCCUUCUGCCUCCUGGCUCAGCCCCUCUCGCCACCACCUGUUCUCCCAUAAACUCUCCUCGCAGCCCCUGGGCCAUGAACCUGAGCCCUUCUCAGAAACAUCUCCUUGCUCACCACCCCAAGUGGACCUCGCACCGCCUGGGUGGGUGCUUGGUCCUUGACCCCCUGUCUAGUGCAGAGCCUGGGACAGAAGUGCUGACUGGUAGGGGGGCUGGCGGGGUGAAGGAGUGAGUGAAUGCACAAAGGGAUGAUUGUGAAGUUGUACCGGAGACAAAUUAUGUCCUUGGCAAGGACCCAGGUCCCUGGCGUGGCAAAGCCACACCUCCAAGCUGGUUCUUCUCUCCCAGCCAGCCCCACUGUAGCCUCUGCCUGCAGCUCAUUAGGAGAUAUGUAACCCUAACCCUCGAAAUUGCCUGGGAUGGAGCAUGUUUUCCCUCAGUGGCAUGAGUAUGGGGAUUUCAUUCCCUUCUCA